CCGUAGGUGUGGGGGACAGUUCCACGUUUUCCGCGCCGUAGCUAACGCAUUAAGUGCCCCGCCUGGGGAGUACGGCCGCAAGGCUAAAACUCAAAGAAAUUGACGGGGGCCCGCGACAAGCGGCGGAGCAUGCGGAUUAAUUCGAUGCAACGCGAAGAACCUUACCAAGGCUUGACAUAUACUGGACCGCAUCAGAGAUGGUGUUUCCCUUCGGGGCUGGUAUACAGGUGGUGCAUGGUUGUCGUCAGCUCGUGUCGUGAGAUGUUGGGUUAAGUCCCGCAACGAGCGCAACCCUCGUUCUAUGUUGCCAGCACGUUAUGGUGGGGACUCAUAGGAGACUGCCGGGGUCAACUCGGAGGAAGGUGGGGAUGACGUCAAAUCAUCAUGCCCCUUAUGUCUUGGGCUUCACGCAUGCUACAAUGGCCGGUACAGAGGGUUGCGAUACUGUGAGGUGGAGCUAAUCCCUAAAAGCCGGUCUCAGUUCGGAUUGGGGUCUGCAACUCGACCCCAUGAAGUCGGAGUCGCCAGGUCGACGCGGCCG
rnacentral:rRNA from 1 species